UUACCAAAAUGACUUUAAGUGACUUAUAUGUUUCUUAUAUGCAACUUAUACUUGACCUAUAAGAGAACUAUAAGUUACAUAUAAGUCACUUAUAAAUCACCUAAAAACCUGUCUAAGUCAGUUAUAGGUAUAUGCUACAUAUAAGUCACUUUUGGCCAUUUUUUCCCCAACAUAUAAGUCACCUAUAAGUGCCUUAUACUGGUGAAGUUUGGUCGUAACCAGUUUCUAUGUUAGAUAUAAGUGAAAACUUAGAACUUUUGCAAGACUUUUUAUCACUGAGCAAAGCUGAAAAAAUUACUAAGUACAAAAACAUGAGAAAAAUUGAUAAAAUUUAUUGAAGUUGAUUUGUAAUUCUUUGCUUUAACACAAUGGGUAUCAAAAUACUCAGAAUUUAAAAUACUAUAAUCUUAGACCUUAAUCACAAACAAUUAAGAUUUUUUUUUAAAUGUUGCUUAUUAAUUUUUAAACACAGCUGGGGGUUUUUAAAUAAGAUAAUAGGAAAAAUGAUUAUCAAUUAAGUAUAUUACCUGUAAAAAAUUUUGGUACAUAUUCUGUGCGGAAUUGGGACAGAAAUGGCAUUCAAUCAGUGAUUUCUAGGCUACCAUGGACAGAAAUGAAAUUCCAUGUCAUUUCUUCUCACAAGGAAAAUAUUUCACAUAAAAGUCACCCAAGGCAUAAUUCUACUCUUGUUUUUUUUCUAACUUGAAACAGACAUUGAAAUCUAUAUGUUUUUACCAACUGUACUUCUUACAGACCUAAUUUCUGGGAAGUAAGAUAUUCUAACAAGAAAAAGAGGUGUAUUGUUUUAAUAUACAAGUGUUAUUUUUAAGACAUUUAGGCCUAGUGUAUUUUAGAUAUUUAAACAAUAAAAAAAACAGUGCUUGAAAUAAACAGUUUAUAUUGCCCUUUUAAUCUAUAUAAAAUCAAGGAACCAAUAUGCCUGAAGAUUGCUUAUAUUUUCUACAUCCACUGAUACACCACAUAGAUCAGAGGUCUGAUAAAACUGGCCACCUGCCUUUGCCACCAUAUGUGCAUGACUAAUUUUUUGACUGGUCAUUCCUACAAAUCAGACUGUUCCAUGUGAUUAUUUUGGGGAAAGAUAACAUUUCCUAUCCUGAAUUUGUAAAAAAGGACAUUGCAUUUUCUUUUUCAAAAAUGUAUAAUGAUUUUUAAACUUUACAUAUCUAUUAGUUAUUUGAUUUUUUUUUCACAUUCAAUGAUUGUAAGAUAGAACUAAUGAGUGCUUUGAUUUUUGGAUUUACCCUGUUUUACAUAACAUUGGACCUGCCCAGGUACACAGCUGUAAGUCUGAAACAUUUAGGUUAGCAAGCUGGUGGAAAUCACAGAGAAUCUUCUUGAUGUUUUAGGAAUUUUAGAGAUAUUGUUUUGUUUAAGAUGUUUAAGUAUAGUUAUGGUAAAUAAGAAUGACAAGAAGAAUCACCUUGGACAAGAAGAUAUACAACAAAAUCAGGUAAAUACCUUUGAGUUACAUUUAUGCAGAAUUGAUACAGGUUAUAUAAAUAAACAAUCAAAGUAAGAUGGCAGCAAACUAAAAUUUGUAACUUGAGAGAUCAAGGCUGUUUUUAUUUCUAUGCUUCAUACAUUAGAUUUACUAAUACAUGUAAUUGAUUUUUUAGAUCUAGAUUUAAUAGUCAAAUUAAUUGAAUUUUUAGAACUAAAUAGUACAAUCAGUAGUUUUAUGCAGCUGAAUAAGACAUUGUCAUCAUAAUCAUUUAUCAUUUUAUUGUUGUUUUCAAUGGGUAUCUGAUAUUACAUUUUACAUACAUUGCAGGCUAGUGGGACCAGUUCUUACUUUGAGAUGCCAGGUGAAUAAUGAUAUGCAGUAUUGAGCCAGAAAAGGUGAACACAGCCACAUGAAGUUCUCCGAGGAAAUAGAAGCAGAGCACUGAAACAGACAUCAAUAAAAGAAAUAGUAGUUUGAAUAAUCAGAAACAUUUGAUCAAAUUUAUGAUUUGAACAGUUCCUCACCGACAGACUUCCAGCAAAAUAAUUGUAUAAAUAAAGUGUUUGAUUCCAAGAAAACCAGUAAAAAACAAAAA